ACGAACGCUGGCGGCGUGCUUAACACAUGCCAGUCGAACGGAAAGGCCCUGCUUGCAGGGUCCUCGAGUGGCGAACGGGUGAGUAACACGUGGGUGAUCUGCCCUGCACUUCGGGAUAAGCCUGGGAAACUGGGUCUAAUACCGGAUAGGAGCCAUUUUUAGUGUGAUGGUUGGAAAGUUUUUUCGGUGUAGGAUGAGCUCGCGGCCUAUCAGCUUGUUGGUGGGGUAAUGGCCUACCAAGGCGGCGACGGGUAGCCGGCCUGAGAGGGUGGACGGCCACAUUGGGACUGAGAUACGGCCCAGACUCCUACGGGAGGCAGCAGUGGGGAAUAUUGCACAAUGGGCGCAAGCCUGAUGCAGCGACGCCGCGUGGGGGAUGACGGCCUUCGGGUUGUAAACUCCUUUCGCUAGGGACGAAGCUUUUUGUGGCGGUACCUAGAUAAGAAGCACCGGCUAACUACGUG
rnacentral:rRNA from 1 species